AUCAUGCACCCGCAGUACAACAAUGCCACGAUUAACAACGACAUCGCCCCCAUUCGCGUCUCGUCACCUGUGAACCUCGACUUGCCUGGAAUCAUGCCCGAUGCCUCCCAUCUUCCACGGACAAUUUUGAAAA